GAAAUGCGAUAAGUAAUGUGAAUUGCAGAAUUCAGUGAAUCAUCGAAUCUUUGAACACACAUUGCGCCCACCAGUAUUCUGGCGGGCAUGCCUGUCCGAGCGUCAUUUCAACCAUCAAGCCCCCGGGCUUGUGUUGGGGACCUGCGGCUGCCCGCAGGCCCUGAAAACCAGUGGCGGGCUCGCUGUCACACCGAGCGUAGUAGCAAUCACCUCGCUCAGGGCGUGCUGCGGGUUCCGGCCGUUAAACAGCCUUACAAAACCCAAGGUUGACCUCGGAUCAGGUAGGAAGACCCGCUGAACUUAAGC
rnacentral:misc_RNA from 1 species